rnacentral:rRNA from 1 species
GAUGAACGCUGACAGAAUGCUUAACACAUGCAAGUCAACUUGAACUUCGGUUUGGGUGUCGGACGGGUGAGUAACGCGUAAAUAACUUGCCUCACAGAUAGGUACAACAUUUGGAAACGAAUGCUAAUACCUGAUAUUCUGAUUUUAGGUCAUCCUAGGAUUAUGAAAGCUAUAUGCGCUGUGAGAGAGCUUUGCGUCCCAUUAGCUAGUUGGAGAGGUAACGGCUCACCAAGGCGAUGAUGGGUAGCCGGCCUGAGAGGGUGAUCGGCCACAAGGGGACUGAGACACGGCCCUAACUCCUACGGGAGGCAACAGUGGGGAAUAUUGGACAAUGGACCAAGAGUCUGAUCCAGCAAUUCUGUGUGAACGAUGAAGUUUUUCGGAAUGUAAAGUGCUUUCAGUUGGGAAGAAAAAAAUGACGGUACCAACAGAAGAAGUGACGGCUAAAUACGUG